rnacentral:snoRNA from 1 species
AACUCAUGGUGAUGACACCUUCUCAAUAAAUCCUUAUACCUCUCCCGUGCAUCAUAUAAUGUCUCUAAAUUGACCUGCACAAAGGAAGAGAUGUCGUUCCUCACUUU